rnacentral:rRNA from 1 species
AUUGAACGCUGGCGGCAUGCCUAACACAUGCAAGUCGAGCGGCAGCGCGGGGGCAACCCUGGCGGCGAGUGGCGAACGGGUGAGUAAUGCAUCGGAACGUGCCCAUCGAUGGGGGAUAACUGCGCGAAAGCGUUGCUAAUACCGCAUACGACCUACGGGUGAAAGCGGGGGACCGAAAGGCCUCGCGCAGCAGGAUGAGCCGAUGUCCGAUUAGCUAGUUGGUGGGGUAAAGGCCUACCAAGGCGACGAUCGGUAGCUGGUCUGAGAGGAUGAUCAGCCACACUGGGACUGAGACACGGCCCAGACUCCUACGGGAGGCAGCAGUGGGGAAUAUUGGACAAUGGGGGCAACCCUGAUCCAGCAAUGCCGCGUGUGUGAAGAAGGCCUUCGGGUUGUAAAGCACUUUUAUCGGGAACGAAACACCGUGGGUUAAUACCCUGCGGGACUGACGGUACUCGAGGAAUAAGCACCGGCUAACUCCGUG